GAAAUGCGAUAAGUAAUGUGAAUUGUAGAAUUCAGUGAAUCAUCGAAUCUUUGAACGCACCUUGCGCUCCUUGGUAUUCCUUGGAGCAUGCCUGUUUGAGUAUCAUGAAAUCUUCAAAGUAAAUCUUUUGUUAACUCAAUUGGUUUCUACUUUGGUAUUGGAGGUCUUUGCAGCUUCACACCUGCUCCUCUUUGUUCAUUAGCUGGAUCUCAGUGUUAUGCUUGGUUCCACUCGGCGUGAUAAGUUAUCUAUCGCUGAGGACACUGUAAAAGGUGGCCAAGGUAAAUGCAGAUGAACCGCUUCUAAUAGUCCAUUGACUUGGACAAUACUUUUAUGAUCUGAUCUCAAAUCAGGUAGGACUACCCGCUGAUCUUAAGC
rnacentral:misc_RNA from 1 species